CAGCAGCCGCGGGAAUACGAAGGGUGCAAGCGUUACUCGGAAUUACUGGGCGUAAAGCGUGCGUAGGUGGUGGUUUAAGUCCGUUGUGAAAGCCCUGGGCUCAACCUGGGAAUUGCAGUGGAUACUGGGUCACUAGAGUGUGGUAGAGGAUAGUGGAAUUUCCGGUGUAGCAGUGAAAUGCGUUGAGAUCGGAAAGAACACCAACGGCGAAAGCACUCUGCUGGGCCGACACUGACACUGAGAGACGAAAGCUAGGGGAGCAAAUGGGAUUAGAUACCCCAGUAGUCCCUGUCUCUUAUAA
rnacentral:rRNA from 1 species